UACAGAGGGGGCAAGCGUUGUUUCGGAAUUACUGGGCGUAAAGGGCGCGGUAGGCGGCCUUCUAAGUCGAACGUGAAAUCCCCGGGCUCAACCCGGGAACUGCGUCCGAUACUGGAAGGCUUGAAUCCGGGAGAGGGAUGCGGAAUUCCAGGUGUAGCGGUGAAAUGCGUAGAUAUCUGGAGGAACAUCGGUGGCGAAGGCGGCAUCCU
rnacentral:rRNA from 1 species